UGAAAUUGAGAGCAACUUCGCUGUAGUUUGACCCAUUUUUCCGUAUGUCAAAACUCGUUUGCUGCUCUUCAUUGUUGAUGUAGAUGUCAAACACUCUUUGGCCAGGUCUCACACUGUCAUCUAGCUCAAAAAAGUAGAGGAAAAUGGUAUAGUUGGAAUCCCUUAUCUCGAGAUCAGCAUAUAAGAACUGCAGACAGGUUUCAUUUGUUGUUGCAGUUUGGAGAACUCUUUGAGGCACCUUUGCAGCAGGAUUGGUGAUCGUAUUGUUGAUUGUGGUCAUCGUGGACAAAUUUACUCUUCCCCGGUCAGGACUCGACCAAAUUCUGUCCUGUGGAUCAUCAGGGAACCUGUACCAUCAGCAUGAUCAACGUAAGUUAACACUUCUGCAGUUGUAUUUUACUGCUUUAUUCUCAAUUCUCUCAUGAAAUAGCUUUUUAACCAUUACUUUUCACUUUCUUACUUUAUGAAAUGUACUUUUGGUUCUUUUACCAGAUGAAAUCUUGAACAAAAGAGUGAUAGUACCUGAUUGGAGUCCCAGUGUUCCCGAGGUCCACUCUGUCCACCAACUUCAGAACAGUAGAGUCUCUUUCUCUCCCAUCAAGGUACCUUGAAUCUCGCAGAGGCCUUAGUUCAAGCUGCGAAAUGUACGGAUCACCUGUUUCAUGCACCAAACAGAAAUCUACGUGCUGCUCAGCUGCCCUGAACAUGGCUUCCACCGUUGAUUUUCCCGACGAGUCCACCAAACUUAUCGGCGUGACACCAACCAAGACAUCAAAGGUAGUGGGCCCCAGGGAUCCUGCGGAUCUACCAGAAGGGAACGUACCCCUUAUCACGUAGUCACUGUCCUGAGUCGUUGCCAAGCUGUAGCAUCUCUUCUCCGAGUUUUCGAUGUCGAAAAACCUAACUUUAUCGUUACCUGUGUAGCUCUCUGACGUGGCGGCUAGGCAGCCUGUUUCGUCUGGGUACCAUUGCUCAUCUGAUAUCCAAGCUAUUGAGGAGCUAUCUGUCUGGCUUUGUUCGCCGCAGCAAUUUAUGCUUAUGAAACCUGCAGGUGACAUGAUUCCUGGGUUUAGAAAGUUGAAACAAACACGGUAGCAGCACGUCAGCAAAUAAAGUGUCCCAACUCAAAUUCUGGUCAGGUGAGCCCGAAAUUUCCAGAUCAUUAGUAUCUGAACCAGGUUUUUGUUUUAUUUCUGUGCAUAGUGUUUGUCCACAACAUAUUAAUGGGAGAUCUGCUUUCGCCAUCCCCAUUCACAUCUUCAUAUAAUAACAGUAAAAGUUAGAUAUCCAUCUUGGAUGGAUUCAUCUCACAUUAGCAAGUCUUAUACAACGAGUAAUCAUAUCAAUAGGUAAAACAACUAUUUUCUGUAAGACUAGAAUAUUGCAGUCAUUUAUGCCUGAGGAGGGGAAUUAAGCAAGUUCAAGUCUUUACAAUACUUGUUUAAAAUUAGAUCCAAGACCCCAUCAAAUCAAACAUCACUUAUGGAACAGGAAGAAGAGGGAAAACAUCACUUAUGGAAGUUCAUGUCAACGGAUGAAUAACAACAGUGGACAUAUUUAGCUCAAUUCCAAGGUGUAUACGAAUUCGAUAUGUGUGAAUUGAAAGAUGCUAACCUUCUUGUUGUGCAGGAGCUGAUGGAACAAAUAGGAUCAGCAGGCAAAGAAUCAAAGAGUCAACACUCCUCAACC
rnacentral:lncRNA from 1 species